ensembl:lncRNA
CUAACCUAAAGACUAUCAGUUAGGAACCUAGGUGUGCUAUUUGAUAGCAACCUUUCCGUAGAAAGCCACGUUUCUAGAAGCCACCUCCUCCUCCAUUGGCUCUUACAGCUGACGACUUUGCACUUUUCUUCACAAAUAAGACAAGAACCAUCAGUGACCAAUUCUCCACACCGCAGACUGAGGAUAACUUCACAACGACUAAUGCUCACUCGUUCUCCUCCUUCUCUCCACUCUCAGAGACGGACGUUUCCAAACUGAUCCUGUCCAGUCAUCCUACUACUUGCCCACUUGAUCCGAUCCCCACUCACCUCCUUCAAGCGAUUUCUUCUUCGGUCAUACCUUCACUUACUCACAUUAUCAACUCCUCUCUUCACUCUGGAAAAUUUCCGUCAGCAUUUAAGCAGGCUCGGGUAAGCCCACUGCUGAAAACACCCUCUCUAAAUCCAGCACUUCUAGAAAACUACAGACCAGUAUCCCUUCUUCCAUUCAUUGCAAAGACACUUGAGCGAGUUGUGUUCAACCAACUCUCUAUGUUUCUUGUACAGAACAACCUCCUGGACAGCAACCAAUCUGGCUUCAAAAGUGGCCACUCAACUGAGACUGCCCUGCUCUCGGUUACUGAAGCCCUGCGACUGGCAAGAGCAGCUUCAAAAUCCUCAGUACUCAUUUUGCUGGACCUGUCUGCUGCUUUUGACACUGUUAAUCACCAGAUUCUCCUGUCCACCCUCAGAAAGAUGGCCAUCUCUGGAACCGCACUCCAGUGGUUUAAGUCCUACAUUUCUGAUAGAUCCUUCAGGGUGUCUUGGAGGGGUUAAGUUUCUAAGUCACAAAAACUUGCUACGGGGGUUCCUCAAGGCAUUCAGAAGCAUGGCUUUUCCUAUCACUGCUACGCUGAUGACACUCAACUCUACUUCUCAUUCCAACCAGAUGACCCGACGGUAGUUGCUCGCAUUUCAGCCUGUCUGAGUGACAUUUCUAGCUGGAUGAAUGACCAUCACCUUCAGCUCAACCNNNNNNNNNNNNNNNNNNNNNNNNNNNNNNN